rnacentral:lncRNA from 1 species
UCUUGAUAUUAUCAUCUGCUGAGGGUGGAGCUGAGGGUGGAAGGGGAGUGAGCUGACGCUCGGAAGGUGUCUUGAUAUUAUCAUCUGCUGAGGGUGGAGCUGAGGGUGGAAGGGGAGUGAGCUGACGCUCGGAAGGUGUCUUGAGAUUAUCAUCCGCUGAGGGUGGAAGGGGAGUGAGCAGACACUCGGGAGGUGUCUUGAGAUUAUCAUCCGCUGAGGGUGGAAGGGGAGUGAGCACACACUCGGGAGGUGUCUUGAGGCUCAGGG